rnacentral:tmRNA from 1 species
GGGGCUGAUUCUGGAUUCGACGGGAUUUGCGAAACCCAAGGUGCAUGCCGAGGGGCGGUUGGCCUCGUAAAAAGCCGCAAAAAAAUAGUCGCAAACGACGAAACCUACGCUUUAGCAGCUUAAUAACCUGCUUAGAGCCCUCUCUCCCUAGCCUCCGCUCUUAGGACGGGGAUCAAGAGAGGUCAAACCCAAAAGAGAUCGCGUGGAUGCCCUGCCUGGGGUUGAAGCGUUAAAACGAAUCAGGCUAGUCUGGUAGUGGCGUGUCCGUCCGCAGGUGCCAGGCGAAUGUAAAGACUGACUAAGCAUGUAGUACCGAGGAUGUACGCGGGUUCAACUCCCGCCAGCUCCACCA